UUACCUUUUACCAUGGGACUUGUAACCGUCACAUCUGUCUUGAGUAGUUAAAAGAUAGAACAGUCUAGUCAAGUGCCAUGUCUCUUAUUCUUGAUCAGCUAUAGCUCUGGAGUUUUUGCAGAUUUUCAAAUAAAACUCAGAGAUUCCUUGUAUGACUCUCUCAAAUCUCUCUUUUGUGGUAUUUUUGGAUCCUUACCAAGGCAGUGAUGGUAUAUGUCUUCUCUCAAAAAGUAUGUGGUAUUUGUGGUAUAAGGCAUAGUGACAUUGCCUUCUCUCUCAUCCUACUCUAAUAAGGCUUUAAUAUCUGGAGCUCAUAGGUGGGAGAUAAAGUAUACAUACUUACAAGACAUGUAUUGCAUAGUCAAACCAUGGAUCCAAAGAAACAAAUCAAUAAGCCAAAUCAAGAUGUGCAUGUGUGGCGAAUGAAUGGUGUAUGGUGAUGAUGGUGAUAACAAUGGUGAAAGUCUAAUUCUACUUUUUGCUCUUUUGAGGGGAUACAUACCUUCCUUGCUUUCUGAAACUUUAUGAGGAGAAUGAGAUGCUCUUCUUUUUCUUUUCUCUCAGGUGGGUAUCUUGUACCCCUAAUUCUACUGUCGGACACUUGUCCAUUUUUACCUCUCGUCUCACUUUUUCUUUUCUUUCGAGGUUCCAGGCACUUGCCCCUUUUUAUUUCCUCGUAUUUUUUUAGAGCACUCAUCUCUUGAGAUAAUAUAGCAAGUGGUAGUAACAACAUAACUUGAGCAUUUAUUUCACAGGGAAAAAACAAUAUUUUUGGUCAUUCUCUCCCGGAUUAGGAGUAGAAUAUUUUUGGGUGGUUCUGGAGAUGGAAAUGGAUGGAUAUAUGUGGAUGGUACUUCCGGGAUAGAAGUAGCAUGUGUGAGUGAACGUGCAAGUGAAUCUUGAUUUAACCACAUGACAAAGCUCCUAAGGGUCUACACAGCUUGACCACACUCAAUGCUCAUAAGCAGUAAAUAGUAAAUAUGUGGUUCAAAGUCUAGCAAGCAUGUAUAUAUGGCUGUGGUAGGAAUUUAAACUCUCAUCAUACAAGAACUCAUCAUGUAAUAUUUUAAAGAUUUUAAAAGAUAAAAUUUUCCGGAAUUCUAGCAUCUCUAGGAACAGAUAUCCGUUAACAACUUAGACUUCAGAUCAAGUUUUCCUCCCACAAGUUUAGGUCUAGAGCAAACUUUAAAUUAUAACAGUUAUAUCUAAACUUGAGAGAGAACUUAAAAUGUGCAAAUUAGGCAAAGCAACUAUUCAUCAUAUCCAUGCUAGAGUUUUAUUUAGAUACAGAUUAGCAUAGCCACUUUAUUUAUUUAUUAAACACACUAAGCAAAAGGCAAAUAUAUAAGCAUAAAAUCUUUAUUUGUUUUUCCGUAAUUAUGUAUAUUUAUAUUUUAAUACAGUAUAAGUAUAAAGAUAGAUAGAAAUACUUAUCGGGAUAAAUGGGGGUGCUCUCCCCCAAGCUGAAUUUUGACGUAAUUUCUCUUGAUGUAGCUAGCAGGUGGCAGAUGUGUAUUUAAAAGUCAGCAGCAUUCUGACAGCGAUUAGAAUGUCCUCCGUCUGCUAGUCUUCUUGAUCCUUGAAUUCUGUGGAGCUCAAAUAGACAACAAAGCUUGUGGAACUGAUUAAGUGUUAGCAUAAAUAUCUAGCCUUUAUCAUGUUGAGACUCCUUAAUAAUUAUUGCUCCCAAUUUUUUUUAUAUUUUCAUUUUAUAAAGUAGAAAAGAAAUAUUUAUUUUAUUUUUAUGCCACCACAGUGAAUGUACUUAUGGGUUUUAUGCCACUUGUAUCCUCACGUGGGGCUUACUGUUUUUUAACAUUUUUAUUUUCUUUUUAUGAUAGUACGAACAUGAUUAACUAAGCAAAUUGUUUAAAAUAAUUGAAAGGAAAAGGAUAACUGCAAGCGCACAGAUUAAUAAUGAAUGGGAUCUGCAAGCGCACAGAUUAAUACUGAUGUAGCAUUUUAACUGGGAAGUAUUUCAGGUAUCGUUAUUUAUAUUUUUACCACUGGGAAGGGAUUAGCAAUCAUCAACAUUGAUUACAAAAUAGAAUGAGAUUGAGUAUCUAUCAUUGCAUGUAUAAUUGAGAACAUUUAUCUAACUCUUUCAUACAGGGAUAAGUGUCACAUAAAAGAUAUAUGAAGUAAUGAAUAGUGACAAAGAUAAUUAAUCUGAUCAGCAUAACUAGCCACAUAAUAAAUAUGAUAAGCACCUCAAUUAGAUACUCUAGAAAGUCAUUAGCAUGGUAUUAGAACGAACUACAAGAAUAUUUCCUAAGUUAUUAUCAACUAUAUAGUCUAGCAUUAUCAUAGUUAGUGCAAGCAUACUUAGCAAUCAUUGUGAGACAAGACUACGCCCAUACAUAGUGAUAUUAGCAAGGUAAAUGAGAAAUAUAGUAAUCACUCCCCUGUAAUAAUGUUGCUCUGCCAGCCCAAUACACGAGAGGGGGACUAUAUAAGAAUCAAUGAAGCUGUCACUAUCACGAACUACCCCACGAUCUGGCAUAUUGGGUACAAUCAUAGAUAAAUACGGUAUAAGCACCACGCCUACACAAUAUCUAUCAUUUACCCAUGGAUCCGAUGGAUAAAUGCUAUACGAUCCUAAGCAUGUAUAUAUACUGAAAUUCUGUCAGAUAAAACCCUAAGUCUAGAUGUUGAUUUCAUUUGGAUCCUUUUCUUUGUUUAUUUGAUAAUUAAAUUUGAUACUUAAGGACCGUCAACAGCUACUAGAUCAAAGCCCCUCUUAAUAGUACGGUCAAAGGAAAAACAAAGUCCUAAACUACUCUAAGUGCCCUUCUCCACCAUAUGGCACUUAGACCUAGUCUAGUCUUGACGAUGUCUAUCCAUCCUUUGAAAACCGAAACGAUUUCCACUAUUAAGUAGGCAUGUACCUAUUGCCAUGACCUUACUUAUGACUUUGCCUCUGCAAAACACACGUUAGUCAUAGUAAUCAACAUUGUCAUUAAUCAUCGAAAUCACUAGGGGCCUAGAUGCUCUUUCAAUCUCCCCCUUUUUGGUGAUUGAUGACAAUAACCUCGAGUAUGAAAGUAGUUGAGGUUUUCAAAUGACUUGGUUUCAAUAAGCAUGAUACAAUAAGAACAAAGGGAUUAGGCAUGCUUAUAUCAACCAAGUCUAACAUCCUGCGCCCAAAUAUGUGAGAUGUGUAAAACAGGAUAUAAACACAAAUGGCUCAUAAGUACAUCGGAGUAAAAUACGGAAGCAAGGGUAAUAUGAGCCAAACACAUGACAUAAGAAUAUUACAAUGAAGCACAAGCCAUGUCUCACAAUCAGAGAGUAUCUCACACAAGUGCAAUGCAUAAGGGUAAACAUGAUGCAUGAAGUAGCACACAAAAGAGUAUAUCAAAAUAACUAACAAAACCUCUCUCUAGCCUCUAGCUCUCUAGCUCCCCCUAACUCUCAUAAUCACAGCGCUCUCCCCCUUUGGCAUCAAGUGCCAAAAAACUAAGAAGCCGGAGCUAGAGGUGGAGCAGUGGAGUCCCUUAGCACGGC
rnacentral:lncRNA from 1 species